AAGGUACCCCCUCCGUCCCAAAAUUCUUGUCUUAAAUUUUUCUAGAUAUGCAUGUAUCUAAAUACUAAAACGUGACUAGAUACAUUCAUAUAUAGACAAAUCCAAGACAAUAAUUUCGGGACAGAGGGAGUACUUA
rfam:Hordeum vulgare subsp. vulgare, WGS project CAJW01000000 data, contig: morex_contig_115281